AGUGCCAGUCUUCUCCUCGUAGUGAAGGCGGCAUCAAUUUCUGAAUUAAUUACCAUUUGUCGCGAAACUGCGCGUCCUCUAUCUUUUCUAGACCUAAAUCUCAAAUCUUAUCCCUGCUUGUGUUAAAUAGUGUUCUAAAUGGCUUCAGAUGAUGAAGUAGACGGUUCAUUUGCAGGCGACGAGGACGUGGAGGAAGGUGAAGGUCAGAAUGAAAAUUCUGGGGAAAGUGAUGAAGCACCACCUAAGGAGGAUGAUGACUACUCCCCAGAAGAUGGCAAAAAGAAGAAGAAAGGG